CUAAUAAUCCUGCUAUUGUCCU
rnacentral:siRNA from 1 species